UACGUAGGGUGCGAGCGUUAUUCGGAAUUACUGGGCGUAAAGCGUGCGCAGGCGGUGAUGUAAGACAGAUGUGAAAUCCCCAGGCUCAACCUGGGAACUGCAUUCGAGACUGCAUAGCUAGAGUAUGGGAGAGGGAAGUGGAAUUUCAGGUGUAGCGGUGAAAUGCGUAGAUAUCGGGAGGAACACCAGUGGCGAAGGCGGCAUCCUGGCCAUGUACUGACGCUCAGGGGCGAAAGCGUGGGGAGCAAACCGG
rnacentral:rRNA from 1 species